rnacentral:rRNA from 1 species
GGGGGGGGGGGGGGGGGGGGGGGGGGUGCGGGGCGGGGGGGGGGGCGGGGCGGUUGGGGGGUGCGCGGGUGGCGAGCGGGGGAGUGACACGUGAGUAACCUGCCCUUGACUUUGGGAUAACUUCAGGAAACUGGGGCUAAUACCGGAUAGGAGCUCCUGCUGCAUGGUGGGGGUUGGAAAGUUUCGGCGGUUGGGGAUGGACUCGCGGCUUAUCAGCUUGUUGGUGGGGUAGUGGCUUACCAAGGCUUUGACGGGUAGCCGGCCUGAGAGGGUGACCGGCCACAUUGGGACUGAGAUACGGCCCAGACUCCUACGGGAGGCAGCAGUGGGGAAUAUUGCACAAUGGGCGGAAGCCUGAUGCAGCAACGCCGCGUGCGGGAUGACGGCCUUCGGGUUGUAAACCGCUUUCGCCUGUGACGAAGCGUGAGUGACGGUAAUGGGUAAAGAAGCACCGGCUAACUACGUG